rnacentral:rRNA from 1 species
UGAACGACUCUCGGCAACGGAUAUCUCGGCUCAUGCAUCGAUGAAGAACGUAGCAAAAUGCGAUACUUGGUGUGAAUUGCAGAAUCCCGUGAACCAUCGAGUCUUUGAACGCAAGUUGCGCCCGAAGCCAUUUGGUUGAGGGCACGCCUGCUUGGGUGUCACGC